rnacentral:misc_RNA from 1 species
GAUGAAGAACGUAGCGAAAUGCGAUAACUAAUGUGAAUUGCAGAAUUCAGUGAAUCAUCGAGUCUUUGAACGCACAUUGUGCCCUCUGGUAUUCCGGAGGGCAUGCCUGUCCGAGCGUCAUUGCUGCCCUCCAGCCCGGCUGGUGUGUUGGGCCCCGUCCCCCUUCCCGGGGGGACGGGCCCGAAAGGCAGCGGCGGCACCGCGUCCGGUCCUCGAGCGUAUGGGGCUUUGUCACCCGCUCUUGUAGGCCCGGCCGGCGCCAGCCGACCCCCUCAAUCUAUUUUUCAGGUUGACCUCGGAUCAGGUAGGGAUACCCGCUGAACUUAAGCAUAUCAAUAAGCGGAGGA